ACGGGGACCCGCACAAGCGUGGAUGAUGUGGAUUAAUUCGAUGCAACACGAAAAACCUUACCUACCCUUGACAUGUCUGGAACCUUGGUGAGAGCCGAGGGUGCCUUCGGGAGCCAGAACACAGGUGCUGCAUGGCUGUCGUCAGCUCGUGUCGUGAGAUGUUGGGUUAAGUCCCGCAACGAGCGCAACCCUUGUCACUAGUUGCCAUCAUUUGGUUGGGCACUCUAGUGAGACUGCCGGUGACAAACCGGAGGAAGGUGGGGAUGACGUCAAGUCCUCAUGGCCCUUAUGUCUUGGGCUUCACGCAUGCUACAAUGGCCGGUACAAAGGGCUGCGAUACCGCGAGGUGGAGCGAAUCCCAGAAAGCCGGUCUCAGUUCGGAUUGGGGUCUGCAACUCGACCCCAUGAAGUCGGAGUCGCUAGUAAUCGCAGAUCAGCAACGCUGCGGUCGAAUACGUUCCCGGGCCUU
rnacentral:rRNA from 1 species